UACAGAGGUCUCAAGCGUUGUUCGGAUUCAUUGGGCGUAAAGGGUGCGUAGGCGGCGCGGUAAGUCGGGUGUGAAAUCUCGGAGCUUAACUCCGAAACUGCAUUCGAUACUGCCGUGCUUGAGGACUGGAGAGGAGACUGGAAUUUACGGUGUAGCGGUGAAAUGCGUAGAUAUCGUGAAGGAAGACCAGUGGCGAAGGCGGGUCUCUGGGCCGAUACUGACGCUGAGGAGCGAAAGCGUGGGGAGCAAACAGG
rnacentral:rRNA from 1 species